UACGUAGGGUGCGAGCGUUGUCCGGAAUUAUUGGGCGUAAAGAGCUCGUAGGCGGUGUGUCACGUCGGCCGUGAAAACUUGCAGCUUAACUGUGGGCGUGCGGUCGAUACGGGCAUCACUGGAGUUCGGCAGGGGAGACUGGAAUUCCUGGUGUAGCGGUGAAAUGCGCAGAUAUCAGGAGGAACACCGGUGGCGAAGGCGGGUCUCUGGGACGGUACUGACGCUGAGACGCGAAAGCGUGGGGAGCGAACAGG
rnacentral:rRNA from 1 species